rnacentral:rRNA from 1 species
UACGAAGGGGGCUAGCGUUGCUCGGAAUCACUGGGCGUAAAGCGCACGUAGGCGGCUUUUUAAGUCAGAGGUGAAAGCCCGGAGCUCAACUCCGGAACUGCCAUUGAAACUGUUUAGCUUGAGGAUGAGAGAGGUGAGUGGAAUUCCCAGUGUAGAGGUGAAAUUCGUAGAUAUUGGGAAGAACACCGGUGGCGAAGGCGGCUCACUGGCUCAUUACUGACGCUCAGGCGCGAUAGCGUGGGGAUCAAACAGG